rnacentral:lncRNA from 1 species
UGGUAUUUGUGGUGGCUGUUGGUGGUGUCGACAUUUGUGGUGUUUGUGGCAUUGGGUGGUGUUUGUGGUGGUGGCUGUUGGUAUGUCAGUAUUGGUGGUGUUUGUAAUGUAUUCUUUAAAAUUUAUGCAUACAUCAACUGUAAUGUAAUUUAUGUUUUUCUGUUGUUUAUAGGUAAAACAUGUCUCCCAAACGAAAAAAAGUGAAAGUGGAUUAAUAUCUAACCAC